ACGCGUUGCGCAUGGCGGAAGUGAAUGUUGUGACGCAUUGUGCGGGGAAAUAGGAGAGGUUAUCAUGCACUUGUUACAAACGCGUUACGGUGUGCAGUUUGGAAUAGACACCCGCGAUUUCUCUGCUGUUUGCCUUGUUCCAAAGACUCAGCACGGUUGGCAAAGUGACCUAAGCUUUCCGUUGUUGUAGUGCUGACAGCUGUUGGUGAUUUACAAUGAACCCUCGAUGCACUCGAAGCACCGUUCGCCGUCGAAGUAAGCAUCUUAACCCCACUCCAAGACCGUGGAUAUGACCACGCAGGUCCGAAUAGAAGGUGGAGGGACCAAAGAUUUUCAUAGCCAACUUGACGCUUCGUAGUUCCUCGCGAGCUGUCUGCUGGGCUCAAGCUUGCUCCUAGUCUGGGUCUUAGAAGAAAGCACACCACCAGUCACCCAACAUGUGCUUCCUUGAUGUGGGGAUGUGCUAUUCACGCCCACUAGGACCAUACGGCACAGUGCUGUUGAUUCUGUUUUAUCGUAAUUGCUCAGUGGUGUUAGUGGUGAACUUUUUGUUGAAUUCAAUCCGGUUUUUAGUUUUUUUUUUCUGGUGACGCAGUACUUGCUUCGAUAUAUCGUUAUGGAAGCACAAACGGAGCGAUUCGAGCAAUCCUUUCCGAAUAGCUUGGUAAGUUUGACAUACUCUCAACACAAUCGUUUUUUUUUACCAUCGUCCCAAAUGACAAUUCAAUUAGUUAGCGAUGAAUUCAGCCAAUUAACCGUAGUUUUCUCGCAUUGGACCAGAAGAAUCUGAUUAAGGUCGAAAUAAAAACCAACGUUCCACUCUGUUCAUAUUCAAGUUACAUCACGUUCACCAUGCUCUAUUUAACAAACCAGUCCUUCUAAAUUUUUUUCCUAGAUAAAUGGGGAACAUAACUUGAAAGCAAAUAAUUGAUAGAUACAAAGAAAGGUGUUCCGAGAAUAAAGGUAUUGUGAUGAGAAGCCACAAGAGUCUAUAAAAAUCUCUCUGUGAGGGACCUAGACGGGUUAUCUUGCCUAAGACCCAUAACUUGUCCCUUGAAAACCAGAUGGUAUAAUUUAAUCACUCACCCUUUUCUUUGGGGUGGUUGAAAAACUACCUGCUUUCAUGUCUCGAGACCACGUUGAAAGAUCUCCCCUGUGAUUUACAUAUUUAGAAUAGUUUUUUAUCCGAUAAAUUAUAACUAAACACCCUGAUUUUCUCUUUUUGAAAUCUCUUCACGCCGUGCCUAAUAUUAGACCGUAUAUAUAUACGAAGCGUUUAAAAUACUUCGUCGUUUCGAAAACUUCCAUAUUGAGACUUAAUUUAUAUCGAAUGUGGUUUCUAUUGGUAGGUGUGUCUUUUUCAUUGUUGUCUAAUUCCCUUCUCUGAACACUUUAUUGGAAACAACUAUUAUUUCGUAAUCCACAAUCUCUCGGCUAUUGUUGCUUCGAAUAUUUUUAUUGAUGAUGCAUAUGACAUCACUGUCACGAAUUCAUCAAUUGUUGAGUCUUCCUUCCAUUAGUCUUAUUCAAUGCUAUUCGAGUGAGAAUAUUCAAUUGAUGGAAGAAAUGACUAUAUUUUCCAAUUAUUCGCUGUUGCAUUUAAC